CCAAAGGCUCUUUUCAGAGCCACCCAAUUAGUCCAAAGAAAGUAG
rfam:Otolemur garnettii contig059043, whole genome shotgun sequence.